GAUUAACGCUGGCGGCGUGCAUAACACAUGCAAGUCGAACGAUGAAACUUUAAUGACCCCUUCUGGGAGAAUUAAAGCGGCUUAUUGGCGAACGGGUGAGUAACGCGUGAGUAACCUGCCUUACACAAGGGGAUAGCCUUUGGAAACGAAGAAUAAUACCCUAUAAAACCAUACAAGCACAUGCAAUUAUGUUCAAAGUGAUAGCGGUUUAAGAUGGACUUUCGUCUGAUUAGCUAGUUGGUGAGAUAAAAGCCCACCAAGGCAACGAACAGUAGCCGGAUGGAGAGAGUGUACGGCAACAUUGGGACUGAGACACGGCCCAGACACCUACGGGAGGCAGCAGUGGGGAAAUUUGAAAAAUGGGGGAAACCCUGAAGCAGAGACGCCGGGAGAUUUAGAAGGACUUCGGGUUGUAAAAAUCUUUUGUAUAGGAAGAAAAUGACAGUAAUAGACGAAUAAGGUCCGGCUAAUUACGUG
rnacentral:rRNA from 1 species